UGAUUGUUUUGGUACCCUGUUACUUUUUGUAAAAAAUAUGAAGUAGCUUUUUGGAAAUUGAGAUUGUAAGCUAGCAUUUUCCACAGAAACACAUGCAGACAGCAAAUGGAAGAUAUAUUUUAGAAGGCGCACUUUCACUGGUGCACUUAGUAAUGGUUUGUCAAAAUAUAUGAUGAUGUAUUUUGGAAAUUGAGAUGGCAAAUUUGCAUAGUCCUAGUCUCCUAGAUUGUUCUUCAGAGUAUCAAAUUAAAAUGACAAGGAAGCAUCAUUCUACCCUUCAUUUA
rnacentral:misc_RNA from 1 species